GGAUCAAACAGGAUUAGAUACCCUGGUAGUCCACGCUGUAAACGAUGAGUACUAGCUGUUGGAGUCGGUGUAAAGGCUCUAGUGGCGCAGCUAACGCGAUAAGUACUCCGCCUGGGGACUACGGCCGCAAGGCUAAAACUCAAAGGAAUUGACGGGGACCCGCACAAGCGGUGGAGCAUGUGGUUUAAUUCGAUGCAACGCGAAGAACCUUACCUGGUCUUGACAUCCUGCGAACUUUCUAGAGAUAGAUUGGUGCCUUCGGGAACGCAGUGACAGGUGCUGCACGGCUGUCGUCAGCUCGUGUUGUGAAAUGUUGGGUUAAGUCCCGCAACGAGCGCAACCCCUAUUGAUAGUUACCAUCAUUAAGUUGGGUACUCUAUUAAGACUGCCGCUGACAAGGCGGAGGAAGGUGGGGACGACGUCAAGUCAUCAUGGCCCUUACGACCAGGGCUACACACGUGCUACAAUGGGUAUUACAGAGGGCUGCGAAGGUGCGAGCUGGAGCGAAACUCAAAAAGGUACUCUUAGUCCGGAUUGCAGUCUGCAACUCGACUGCAUGAAGUCGGAAUCGCUAGUAAUCGCAGGUC
rnacentral:rRNA from 1 species